rnacentral:piRNA from 1 species
UUCCCUAAGGCCUGUCUGAUGAGAGC